rnacentral:rRNA from 1 species
UCCUGUUGAUCCUGCAGGAGAUUGCUGCUAUCAGGAUUCGACUAAGCCAUGCAAGUCCAGGGGUUCUUCGGAACACCGGCGAAAUGCUCAGUAACACGUUGAUAAUCUGCCCUUUGGUCUGGGAUAACCUCGGGAAACUGGGGCUAACACCGGAUAGAAAAUUCGUUCUGGAAAGAAUUGUUUUCUAAAGGCAACGCCAAAGGAUGAGUCAGCGGCGGAUUAGGUUGUUGGUGGGGUAAAGGCCCACCAAGCCUACGAUCCGUAGGGGCCUUGAAAGAGGUAGCCCCGAGAAGGGAACUGAGAUACUGUCCCUAGCCCUACGGGGUGCAGCAGGCGCGAAACCUCUACAAUGCACGCAAGUGUGAUAGGGGGAUCCUGAGUGCUCAGCUCUGCUGGGCUUUUGCUAAGAGUAAAAAUCUUGGCGAAUAAGUGGUGGGUAAGACUGGUGCCAGCCGCCGCGGUAACACCAGCGCCACGAGUGGUAAUCGUUAUUAUUGGGCCUAAAGCGUCCGUAGCAGGUCUUGUAAAUCUCUUGUGAAAUUGUUGCGCUCAACGUAACACCGUGCAAGAGACACUGCAAGACUCGGGACCGGGAGGGGUUAGAGGUAUUCCUUGGGGAGCGGUAAAAUGCUAUAAUCCAAGGAGGACCACCUAUGGCGAAGGCAUCUAACCAGAACGGAUCCGACUGUGAGGGACGAAAGCUAGGGGAGCGAACCGGAUUAGAUACCCGAGUAGUCCUAGCCGUAAACGCUGCGAGCUAGGUGUUGCACAAUCUACGGGAUUGUGCAGUAUCGAAGCGAAGGCGAUAAGCUCGCCGCCUGGGAAGUACGGUCGCAAGGCUGAAACUUAAAGGAAUUGGCGGGGGAGCACUACAAGGGGUGCGGCGUGCGGUUUAAUCUAACUCCACACAGAGAAUCUCACCAGAAGCGACGGCAGAAUGAAAGUCAGAUUGAAGGUUUUACUUGACGAGCCGAGAGGUGGUGCAUGGCCGCCGUCAGCUCGUGCCGUGAGGUGUCCAGCUAAGCCUGGUAACGAGCGAGACCUGCGUCCACAAUUGCUAACAGGUGCUUUUGCAUGACUGUGCACAUUGUGGAGACUGCCUUGGAAACAAGGAGGAAGGUGCAGGCUACGGUAGGUCUGUAUGCCCCGAAUCUUCUGGGCUACACGCGCGCAACAAUGGUAAGGACAAUGGGCUGCGACUCCGAAAGGAGAAGCUAAUCCUCCAAACCUUAUCCAAGUCCAGAUUGAGGGUUGUAACUCACCCUCAUGACGAUGGAAUCCCUAGUAAUCGGGUAUUAGCAGUGCCCGGUGAAUACGUUCCUGCUCCUUGCACACACCGCCCGUCAAACCACUCGAGCAGGGUUUAGAUGAGGUGCAGUUCUUUGAUUGUAUCGAAUCUAAGCUCAGUGAGAAGGGUUAAGUCGUCACAAGGUA